UUUAAAAAAAUAAUUUAAAAUUCUUUUUCCCCUUGCUUUUCUCAGAAUCAUCUUAUUCCUCUCUAUCUGUUCUAUAAUAAGAUGUUUGAUGUGCAGAAGAAUAAAUCAAACAACUAUUUAAGUUCCUCUCCUCCGCCUUCAAUUCCGUUCUAUUCCUCUUGAGAAGGUGUAGCGUCCCCUGAAAUAUGCUGCAGUUCUGCAAUAGUCUGCACGCUCGUCCCCACCUUUGGUUUCUUCUUUCCUUUACUGGCUUUGUCUUUGCUUCCCUUCCUUUCUUUUCCUAAGCAACAUGGAGGCAGCCAGCAGGGUAACUGUCUGAAGAGGGUGGAGGAAGCAGAAGGAUGAAGCUCACAUAAUGGCCAAGUGAAUUACUGACAUCAGUGGGAAUGGAGAAGAAGGAAUUAAAAGGACAGGAUUUGGCAACAGAUGGCGGUGAGGAAGUCUUCACAGACCAGAAGAGUGGUGAAAACUCUUUUGCUACCAGACUGCCUGCAGACUUAGUUCUUCGCUUUCUUGUGAACUUUCUUCUGCAUCUGUCCUUUGGCCCACAGUGGAAGACAGGAGAAAGAAGUGGACGUAAGACUCAGGCAAACCUAUUUUGUGAGUUGCUAUGAACGGAGUAUUUGUGUCCCUCCAAGAUGUGUACGUUGAAAUCCUCGCCACCCAGGUGAGGAUUUUAGGAGAUGAGCCGCUGGGAGGUGAUCGGGUGGGGAGAGUAGAGCCCUCAUGAACGGGAUGAGUGUCCUUACAGAAGGAGCCCCCAGAAGGGCCCUUCCUCCCUUCCUGCGGUCCCUCCUUCCAGGUUACAGUGAAAAGAUGGGCUCUCUCUGGACAACAAACUGGCCGAAUUUGCUAGCAACUGGGACUUGGCCCUCCCAGCUUCCAAACUGAGAAAUGAGUUUCCAGGGUUAGCAUGCCACCCAGUCUCUGGCAGUUGGCUACAUCGGCCUGGAGAGACGAGGCGUUGAGAAGAGCUCUGGGGCAGACAUGAUGGAGGCGGUGAACGCCACUGUCACUGCUAAGUUUCCUGGGCUCCCGGAGUCCUGCGUUCCCGGUCCCUCCAGCCUACACACAGGGAGUCCCACAUGGGGACAGUGGAGUCCAGUGAGGGCCACGGCUUCAACAGACUUUCUGUGACACGGGGUCAGCCAAGCUUGACUUCAAGAGCAGGAGUUUCUGAUGUAGUCUGAUUGCCCGUUGAAAUUCAGAAGAAAGUUUAAGCAUUGUGAAAGCGAUGGCAUACGACCCGAUUCCACAAAAUAAAUACUAACACCUGAC
ensembl:lncRNA